ACAAUUUAAAUAAAUAUUGGAGUCUAUUUCUGGUUUUAAAGUUCCCCUGGUGUGCAGUGACCUAAGUUCAUUUUUUAAAUCACUUUGUUCCGUUUGUAGGACCCCAAAAAAUUGAAAAGGAAAAUGCAAAAUGUGCAGUAAUUUAUCUACAAAUACCUUUAUAUCUAUUAGGACUCUUGCAGUUUGCACAGACAAGGGGAAUUGUCUAAUUGUCUUGCCCUUCAAGUCAUUAUGAAACAUUUGAGUCAAAGACUGUCACUCACCAUGAGAAAAUAUAAGAAUCGAUUUUGCAAACAGAAGACGAGAUGCUUCCACUCAGAAAAUAAUUAAGUUAUCAACUCACUUCCUGAAAAUCAAAGAAGUCUGCUUGGCUAGUCAGUCAUUGCUCCAUAAAUUGAACACAAAUUUGGGGACAAGAAACAGAGCCUUUCCUCAGAUCUCAUAUUUUUCCUUAACCCAAAUACAGCUGUCUCUCCUCUGACCCUUGCUGCAUUCCAGCUGUUGUGGAUCUUUUCCAUUAGGAGAAGAAUUUGGAGAAUCAAGGUAUCUUUAUAAUUAAACAAGAUUGCAUCAAAACACCUAGUCUUGGUUUCUUGAAUGUAGCAGGAGUCAAACAAAACAUAGUCUUUGUCCAGCUUUCAACAGCUUUCAAGCUAGCACUUAGCCAAAUAUUUCUAGCUUUUCUCACAGUUGCUUUCCUACUGUUUGUUCUGAUGAUAUCCUUGGCUUUUUUGUUCCUGCUUCUUGUAGUCUUUGAUAUCUGAUUUUUCUAUUUCUCUGGUCUUUUUGCUCCUUUCAGAGAAAAACUUUUACAAAACAGUGACCCAAACUCCUCUGCCUAUGUGUGUGCUGUGUAUGCUUUUGUUUGGGCUGGUGAUGUGCCUACCUUCUGGGGACUGCUGUUGUUUCAGCUACCUGAUUGCAAAAACAAACUUACCUUCUUUUAUUUUACCUUUCUAAAAUUACCAAGAACAGCUAUACUUAACCAACAAUAUUUUUCCUAAAAAAUGACAUGCUGUUUAAUACUAGGGAUAGGCAUUAUAAAAGUGAAGAACACUGUGUAUCUCUAUAUCUUUACAGUUCAGAAGGUCUGGUUUGAGUUCUUUGCAGUCUAAUAAGACCACUGCCACUGUUAUACUCAGGUUUGAUUAACCAGUUAAUCAUGGUUUAAGUUGUAACCCAGCCAUACGUUA